rnacentral:lncRNA from 1 species
UAUCAAUGUUCAAUCCAUGCCUAACCGAAAGGAUAAUGAAGUUCAGGUUGUACGAGUACGAGGACACUAUAAAGGUCAGCAAAUUGGUACAGUAGUCCAGGUUUACAGGAAGAAAUAUGUCAUCUACAUUGAAUGGGUGCAGCAGGAAAAGGCCAAUGGCACAACUGUCCAUGUAGGCAUUCACCCCAGCAAGGCGGUUAUCACUAGGCUAAAACUGGACAAAGACCGCAAAAAGAUCCCUGAACAGAAAGCCAAAUCUCACCAGGCAGGAAAGGAAAAGGGCAAAUACAAGGAAGAAAAAAUUGAGGAGAUGCAG